UGGGGAAUUUUGGACAAUGGGCGCAAGCCUGAUCCAGCAAUGCCGCGUGCAGGAUGAAGGCCUUCGGGUUGUAAACUGCUUUUGUACGGAGCGAAAAGGUCUGCCCUAAUACGGUGGGCUAAUGACGGUACCUGAAGAAUAAGCACCGGCUAACUACGUGCCAGCAGCCGCGGUAAUACGUAGGGUGCGAGCGUUAAUCGGAAUUACUGGGCGUAAAGCGUGCGCAGGCGGUUAUAUAAGACAGAUGUGAAAUCCCCGGGCUCAACCUGGGACCUGCAUUUGUGACUGUAUAGCUAGAGUACGGUAGAGGGGGAUGGAAUUCCGCGUGUAGCAGUGAAAUGCGUAGAUAUGCGGAGGAACACCGAUGGCGAAGGCAAUCCCCUGGACCUGUACUGACGCUCAUGCACGAAAGCGUGGGGAGUAAACA
rnacentral:rRNA from 1 species